rnacentral:lncRNA from 1 species
AUGGCUCUGAGCUACCCCAUGGCCAUGGGCCUCAGCAAGAGCUGCAAGGUGACCAAGAACAUGAGCAAGCUGAGGCACAAUGGCCGUCACGGGCACCUUACCAAACACACCACAUUUGUGCAGAACGUGGUCUGGGAGGUGUGCAUCUUAUGAGCAGCAGGUCAUGGAGCUGCUCAAGGUCUCCAAGGACAAGCGGGCCCUCAAGUUCAUCAAGAAAAGGGUCGGG